UAUAGCACUGAAGUUCAGUACUGAACUUAGCAUUGGUUAAAUACUAGGAGCCAGAAAGAAUCCACUGAUCCUCUUGUCACAGGCUUGUUUUGUAGGCGUAAGAACUGGACUCCGAGCCACUGGAUGAUAGGACUGCAAACAGCACUGGAAUUCCUUGGUUUCAUUGUUUGUUCUCUGAACCACCUUUGAACCCAAUAGUGAUGGGGCAGCUAAGAGCAAUGCUGACUUGAGCUGAGUGACAGCUGAGGAGUGGUUCAGGUUACUGUCUAAUUUUGAGCUGUUGCAGGAGAAAGCUUCAGAUCGAGCUGAAUCGCACAAUUUCUGAUGAGAGAAGCUGGAAACAGCAAACUGCUAGUCCUUAAAAAUAAACCCUUCAGCUUCAGAGAUUUGGCCCAGAAAUGAACCGGGUUACAGCUUAAGCCCUGACACUCAGUUUAUUACCCUGGAGCCAAAGGAAUGGUGCUUCUGGCUGGAGAGAGACUUGAUCACUUUAGCCUGGCCCUGGGCACCAGCUUGUGCCUUCCUCAAAGAAGCUACUUUAAGGCUGCAGGAGAUGGCUCGGUGGGCAAAGUGCUGCCUACGCAAGUGUAAGGACCCGUGUUCAAAGCUCCAGCCUCCAGGUCCUGCUUGGGUUCAACUGAAGUUACUGCCAGGGCAACCAAAGGUAACUAACUCCUGGCAUGACAUAGACGCUCAAUACAUCACUUUAAAAUGAAUAAAUAAUGAUUCUUGCCUUGAUCUGUGCUGGCUGCUGCCCAGCGGGCUGCAGAGUUGGAAAUCACAAGUUUAUCAUGGCUUUUGUAACCUCCGUGAGUUACAAAGGAGACCGGAGAAUAAAGCUUGUUAAGAACAAUGGCUGUCACUGAGCACUGGAAACUUUCAGUAAUGACCUUUCACCUUUCUGAGUUCAUUCUUUUUAUUAAUUCUCUGAUAAUUUCACACAGGGAUACAAUGUAUUUUGAUCACAUCAAGCCCACACUCCCCUCACUACACCCUGGUCCCAAUUUCAUGUCCGUUUUUUCAUAAGUCACCGAGUCCAGUCAGCACUGUCUGUGGGUGCACAGGUGUCAGACCAUCCUUGGGCACACAGGCCACUCACUUCCUGAAGAAAAGUAAGUCUCCUGAUACCACUAGCUUCUAACUGCCAAAGCUCUGCAGGUAGGAGUGGGGAUUAGCAUGUCUUUUUUUUUUUUUUCCAUCCCUGCUAGAAGGACUUGAUCUUGUUUCAUGUGAGCAAGCUCAUCAAUGCAAUGGCUAUGCCAUACCCAGAAGAUAUAUAUCUCUUAGGAUCUUUGUGUCCCCUCUUCUAUAUUUCCCAAGGGGUGUGCGUGCGUGUGUUUGUAUGUGUGUGUGAUAGAUGUCCUACUUAGGGCUCAACACUCCCAAGCUAUCUUCUGUAGUCUGUCUUUUAUUUAAGACUUACUUAUCUUAAAAUGUUAUGUAUCCACUGGUUAGUUUUACAUCAACUUGACAUAAGCUAGAAUCACUGGAGAAGAGAGAGCAUCCGUUGAGAAAAUAGCUUCAUAGUAUUAAGCUGUAGGACAUUUUCUUAAGUAGUGAUUGAUGGGGGAAACUCUAGCCCAUUGUGGGUGGGCCGUCCCUGGGAGGGAGUCCUAGAUUCUAUAGAGAAGCAGAGGAAUAAGUCAGUAAGCAGCACCCCUCCAUGGUCUCUGCAUCAGGUUCCUGUCUUGUAUGAGUUCCUGUCC